rnacentral:rRNA from 1 species
AUUGAACGCUGGCGGCAGGCCUAACACAUGCAAGUCGAACGAGUGGCGGACGGGUGAGUAAUGUCUGGGAAACUGCCUGAUGGAGGGGGAUAACUACUGGAAACGGUAGCUAAUACCGCAUACCAUCAGAUGGGCCCAGAUGGGCUUAGCUAGUUGGUGGGGUAAUGGCUCACCAAGGCGACGAUCCCUAGCUGGUCUGAGAGGAUGCCCAGCCACACGGGAACGGGGACACGGUCCAGACUCCUACGGGAGGCAGCAGUGGGGAAUAUUGGGCAAUGGUCGCAAGCCUGAUGCAGCCAUGCAGCGUGUAUGGAGAAGGCCUUCGGGUUGUAAAGUACUUUCAGCGGGGAGGCGUUACCCGCAGAAGAAGCACCGGCUAACUCCGUGCCAGCAGCCGCGGUAAUUC